rnacentral:tRNA from 1 species
GGUGAAGUGUCCGAGUGGCUUAAGGAGCACGCCUGGAAAGUGUGUAUACGUUUAUAGCGUAUCGAGGGUUCGAAUCCCUCCUUCACCGCCA